CCCUUUCAUACUUUAACUAUUUGCACAUCAUUACAACAUUGUAUAUAGACAUAAUAUGACAGUUUAAAUGUCUAUUCUUCUGGAACUUUUAUAAUUGUAAUAUUUACUGUUCAUUUCACUUUUUUUUUUUUUUAAUUAUCUACUUCACUUGCUUUGGCAAUGGAGAGAGAGAGAGAGAGAGAGAGAGAGAGAGAGAGAGAGAGAGAGAGAGAGAGAGAGAGAGAGAGAGAGAGAGAGAGAGAGAGAGAGAGAGAGAGAGAGAGAGAGAGAGAUGGUAGAUGAGCGGACACCUCGGUCUUACAUUCUGACACAUUACAGGCAGAUUUCUAAAUUGGUAUUACUUCUCUCACUGAUCAUGUUUUGACACACAUGACUGAGGCUUCAUCUCAAAUGACACCCUAUUCCCUACACAGUGCUCAUAGGUAGUGCACUACGUAGGGAAUAGGGCUUCAUUUGGAACAUAUGACUGAGUUCCACCGGCCAGAUAGCCUGGUGUGUAGUUUGCUGCUCAUAUCUAAUGACUAUUUAUACACACAGCAAAUUCUCCUGUGUUGAAUCAACACUGACAUUGUUACAUUUGGGGGAGAAGGCGACCCGCAUGUGGGGCAAAGUUUUGAGACCCACAUUUUUAGCAAAAAAAUAGUUUGCAAACAAUGUAAAAUAUAUAUAAUUGACUUAAUAAAGCCGCAUACAAACAUGUUCUCUUUUUUGUUUUCUUGAGUAAAGCAGCUCCAAAAUGCAGGUGUUUCAGCCUGUCUAGCUCAGUGCUUUCUGUGGUGGUGAGGCGGGCCAGCAGAAAAUAGGAGCAUUUCGUUGUGAUUGGCUCAGUAUUCUGUCACUCAUGGGGACGUUGCGUAAUCGCCUCACAUCAGUUCUUCAGUAAUGGUAGACAUCUAAAAUGUCAGCCCUUUGAGUCCUACCAUAGAGUUAUAUUACAAGUGCCCUUCCAAGAAGGCUCAAGGUCAUUGGCCACAGAUGUAAUUACGCUAUAUGUACAGUAGCUUUGAUUGGACUGAUCAUGUCAACAUCAUACUUUGCAAAAUCUUAGCUAGCAGCCAAUCAUCAUGAAUCAAGUCUACUGGCAAAUCCUUUUUAAUCCUUGUCUCAUGAAGAGAAAUAAUGAAUAGAUAAAUAUUGAUAAAAUGUGUAUCGAUGCUCAUCGGGCCAAUGAACAUAAACAUUACACAAGAAGUUGGAAAUCGCAAAUUCAAUAAUGACUUGUUUGGAAGGAAUUGGUGACAGUGGACAUUUGCAAUUGGGAAGUCAGACUGAAUGGUCCAAUCCAACUCGGAAUUGUAAAUCUUUUCUUUUUUUCUUUUGAUGACAAAAUUUACCAACGAAGGUAAAUCCCAGUGUUUUGUAUACAUGUUUUUUUGUGUAUUUAUAAACCCAAAUGAUGUAUUCCUGACGCCUGUCUCCAAAAUCCUUUACACCAGCGUGACAAUAGAGACACAAUUGUUGGAAGAAAACAGAAACCGCUCUGUUUAUUCCAACUUCUUUAAAACAUUUUAUUUCAGUUUCUCUCGCGACCCCAUUUUCAAAUCAGGUGACCCCACAUGGAGCCACAACCCCUAGUUUGGGAAACGCUGUGUAAUAAUAGUAUUUUUAACCAUUACACCAUGAGGUUUGUAUCUCUUGACAAGGUCCCUCAGUGUUUAGGUUAAAGGACAUUACCUUUAUUAUUUACAAAUCUUUGUCACAUGCUCUUUAUGUAAGCAUUUACAAAGACUUCAGAACUGGCAACAGAAACAAAACUCAAACAUGAAUUAACAUAAUCAUAGACCAGAGUUCAGGUUUCAGCGAACAACGGAAAGGAAUGGUGCUCAACAACAAUGACAACGAUGAAUGAGAAUGGCUCACCAGGACAAACUUCCAAAACUUCAAAACUUCCACUAGUUAGAGUUAGAGCACUCAACAUAUUUUUUAACUUUUUUUUGUGAUUUAUUUUUGCUCGAUGUCAAAACAUCAAUGGAUUAAAUAGAUUUUUAUUUUCUUAUAACGAUAGAGCAACUAAACUUCCACUCACCGAAAAUAACUAACUGAAAACCACGCCCCCACGCCACCAUACCUCUAAUAUAAUUUCACAGUGUGCUUUGCCUUUUCGAGUGAAUUGUAGAAUUACCACAAUUCCUGGGGUUUAAUAUGGAUUCCCAUUAGUUCCUGCCAAGGCAGCAGCUACUCUUCCUGGGGUUUAUUAUGGAUCCCAAUUAGUUCCUGCCAAGGCAGCAGCUACUCUUCCUGGGGUUUAUUAUGGAUCCCCAUUAGUUCCUGCCAAAACAGCAGUUACUCUUCCUGGGGUUUAUUAUGGAUCCCAAUUAGUUCCUGCCAAGGCAGCAGCUACUCUUCCUGGGGUUUAUUAUGGAUCCCCAUUAAUUCCUGCCAAGGCAGCAGCUACUCUUCCUGGGGUCCAGUAAAUUUAAGGCAGUUAAAUAAAAUGUUAAAAACAUUACAAUACAUUUUCAGAACAUAUUUCAUGACAUAUUAAGUAUGUUCCCUCAGGCCACUACUCCACUACCACAUAUCUACAACACAACACAAAAUCCAUGUGUACGUGUGUGUAGUGCAUCUUUGCCUGUGUGUCUGUCUCUUCACAGUCCGUGCUGUUCUAUAAGGUGAAUAUUUUUAUCUACAUUUUUUAUCUGAUUGUACUGCUUGCAUCAGUUACUUGAUAUGGAAUAGAGUUCCAUGUAGUCAUGGCUCUAUGCAGUGCUGUGCGCCUCCCAUAGUCUGUUCUGGACUUGGGGACUGUGAAGAGACCUCUGGUGGCAUGUCUCGUGGGCUAUGCCUGAGCUGUAGGGAUAGGCGUCCUGCUAGC
rnacentral:lncRNA from 1 species